UUCUCAAAGAGAACUUAAGUAAACAGAGUG
rnacentral:piRNA from 1 species